rnacentral:rRNA from 1 species
UACAGAGGUCCCAAGCGUUGUUCGGAUUCACUGGGCGUAAAGGGUGCGUAGGUGGUCAGGUAAGUCUGAUGUGAAAUCUCUGGGCUCAACCCAGAAACUGCAUUGGAUACUAUCUGGCUAGAGGAGUGGAGGGGGGACUGGAAUACUUGGUGUAGCAGUGAAAUGCGUAGAUAUCAAGUGGAACACCAGUGGCGAAGGCGGGUUGCUGGGCUGAACACUGACGCUGAGUGCGCGAAAGCCAGGGGAGCGAAGCGGG